AUUGAACGCUGGCGGCCGGCCUAACACAUGCAAGUCGAACGAGUGGCGGACGGGUGAGUAAUGUCUGGGAAACUGCCUGAUGGAGGGGGAUAACUACUGGAAACGGUAGAUAAUACCGCAUACUAUCGGAUGUGCCCAGAUGGGAUUAACUUGUAGGUGGGGUAAAGGCUCACCUAGGCGACGAUCCCUAGCUGGUCUGAGAGGAUGACCAGACACACUGGGACUGGGACACGGUCCAGACUCCUACGGGAGGCAGCAGUGGGGAAUAUUGCACAAUGGGCGCAAGCCUGAUGCAGCCAUGCCGCGUGUAUUAAGAAGGCCUUCGGGUUGUAAAGUACUUUCAGCGGGGAGGCGUGACCCACAGAAGAAGCACCGGCUAACUCCGUGCCAGCAGCCGCGGUAAUUC
rnacentral:rRNA from 1 species